rnacentral:rRNA from 1 species
GACGAACGCUGGCGGCGUGCCUAACACAUGCAAGUCGAGCGGAGAUAUUAGCAAUAAUAUCUUAGCGGCGGACGGGUGAGUAACGCGUGGGCAACCUGCCUUUCACUGGGGGAUAACACAGGGAAACUUGUGCUAAUACCGCAUAACAUCACGAGAUGACAUCUUCUUGUGAUCAAAGGAGCAAUCCGGUGAUAGAUGGGCCCGCGUCCGAUUAGCUAGUUGGUGGUGUAACGGACCACCAAGGCGACGAUCGGUAGCCGAACUGAGAGGUUGAUCGGCCACAUUGGGACUGAGACGCGGCCCAGACUCCUACGGGAGGCAGCAGUGGGGAAUAUUGCGCAAUGGGGGAAACCCUGACGCAGCAACGCCGCGUGAAGGAUGAAGGUUCUCGGAUUGUAAACUUCUUUGAUGAGGGACGAAAAAAUGACGGUACCUCAAAAACAAGCCACGGCUAACUACGUGCCAGCCGCCGCGUAAA